rnacentral:rRNA from 1 species
GCAAGUCGAGCGGUAACAGAGAGUAGCUUGCUACUUUGCUGACGAGCGGCGGACGGGUGAGUAAUGCUUGGGAAUAUGCCUUUUGGUGGGGGACAACAGUUGGAAACGACUGCUAAUACCGCAUAAUGUGUACGGACCAAAGUGGGGGACCUUCGGGCCUCACGCCAAAAGAUUAGCCCAAGUGGGAUUAGCUAGUUGGUAAGGUAAUGGCUUACCAAGGCAACGAUCCCUAGCUGGUUUGAGAGGAUGAUCAGCCACACUGGGACUGAGACACGGCCCAGACUCCUACGGGAGGCAGCAGUGGGGAAUAUUGCACAAUGGGCGCAAGCCUGAUGCAGCCAUGCCGCGUGUGUGAAGAAGGCCUUCGGGUUGUAAAGCACUUUCAGUAAGGAGGAAAGGGUAGUCUUUAAUAGAGGCUAUCUGUGACGUUACUUACAGAAGAAGCACCGGCUAACUCCGUGCCAGCAGCCGCGGUAAUACGGAGGGUGCGAGCGUUAAUCGGAAUUACUGGGCGUAAAGCGUACGCAGGCGGUUUGUUAAGCGAGAUGUGAAAGCCCCGGGCUCAACCUGGGAACUGCAUUUCGAACUGGCAAACUAGAGUGUGAUAGAGGGUGGUAGAAUUUCAGGUGUAGCGGUGAAAUGCGUAGAGAUCUGAAGGAAUACCGAUGG